GACGAACGCUGGCGGCGUGCUUAACACAUGCAAGUCGAGCGGUAAGGCCCUUUUGGGGGUACACGAGCGGCGAACGGGUGAGUAACACGUGGGUGACCUGCCCUCAGCUCUGGGAUAAGCCUGGGAAACUGGGUCUAAUACUGGAUAUGACCUUUCCUCGCAUGGGGUUGGGUGGAAAGUUUUUCGGCUGGGGAUGGGCCCGCGGCUAUCAGCUUGUUGGUGGGGUGAUGGCCUACCAAGGCGACGACGGGUAGCCGGCCUGAGAGGGCGACCGGCCACACUGGGACUGAGACACGGCCCAGACUCCUACGGGAGGCAGCAGUGGGGAAUAUUGCGCAAUGGGGCGGAAGCCUGACGCAGCGACGCCGCGU
rnacentral:rRNA from 1 species